UUCUGGAAAGAAUCGAAUUCGUCAACAAUCUUUCUCGAAAAGAAAAUAUUUUUUCUGUUUUGGAAUUAAUUAGUCAUUUGGUUACUCAUCAAAAUUGUUUAUUGAUCGAUCGAUAACAAGUCAGCGAUUACUUAUCGAUCCAUUAAUCAUUGGUCAAUCGAGUGUCCUUGCUUUGUCAAUUCAGUAGUCAAUAAUCGAAUCGAUGGUCAGUUUAAUGGUCAGACUUUGUUAUUAAUCAUUGGUAACCACGACGUCAUUAAUUUCUCCGCGAGACGCUUUCCAUCGCGAUGCUCACCUGUAUAAGUCUGCGUGCUUCUCCUCGCCUGUCUGGCUCUGCUCGUGAUCGCCUACCAACGGCAAGAAAGCGUGAUGCAGCUCUCCCGAUUGCACGCGUUUACCGCGCAGCCUCAACGCGCUCCACACGGCGAUUCUGCGAAAGGGGUUGUUCUUCUCGCAGGCGUCGUUGAUGCGAAAAGUGAGCCCUCGUCUCGACACCUCGAGCUCCGCUCUCACGGAUUCGUCGAUCCUUUCCAGAAGCUGACGCAGAGGCUCUUGGAGACCUCGAACGCUGGCCACACGACCACCUACUGGAGCUGCUCCCAUGUAUUUCACCUGAGCGAACGACCGCAGCAAUACAAACGUAUCACUUUCCUUGGUUAGGAAAAUAGAAUUUGGAUAUAAACGCUUACUUUUAUAAUUAUUUACAAAGAUUUUGUAUUUUGUAUGAAAAUAUUACAAAUUUAUCGAUAUAUAUAUUUCUCUUAGUAUUAUAUGUUGGAAUUAAAAUGAAGAAAAGCGAAUUAAAAAUAUUAAAGUAAA